rnacentral:rRNA from 1 species
GAAACUCCCUUUAAAACUGUUAGUCUUGAGAUCGAGAGAGUGAAGUGGAAUUCCAAGUGUAAGAGGUGAAAUUCGUAGAUAUUUGGAGGAACACCAGCGGCGAAGGCGGCUCACUGGCUCGAUACUGACGCUGAGGUACGAAAGUGUGGGGAGCAAACAGGAUUAGAUACCCUGGUAGUCCACACCGUAAACGAUGAAUGCCAGACGUCAGCAAGCAUGCUUGUUGGUGUCACACCUAACGGAUUAAGCAUUCCGCCUGGGGAGUACGGUCGCAAGAUUAAAACUCAAAGGAAUUGACGGGGGCCCGCACAAGCGGUGGAGCAUGUGGUUUAAUUCGACGCAACGCGCAGAACCUUACCGACCCUUGACAUACUUGUCGCGGAUUCCAGAGAUGGAUUCCUUCAGUUCGGCUGGACAAUGUACAGGUGCUGCAUGGCUGUCGUCAGCUCGUGUCGUGAGAUGUUCGGUUAAGUCCGGCAACGAGCGCAACCCACGUCCUUAGUUACCAGCAUUUAGUUGGGUACCCUAAGGAGACUGCCGGUGAUAAGCCGGAGGAAGGUGUGGACGACGUCAAGUCAUCAUGGCCCUUACGGGUUGGGCUACACACGUGCUACAAUGGCAUCUACAGUGAGUUAAUCUCCAAAAGAUGUCUCAGUUCGGAUUGGGGUCUGCAACUCGACCCCAUGAAGUUGGAAUCGCUAGUAAUCGCGGAACAGCAUGCCGCGGUGAAUACGUUCCCGGGCCUUGUACACACCGCCCGUCACACCAUGGGAAUUGGGUCUACCCGAAGGUGGUGCGCCAACUAUUUAUAGAGGCAGCCAACCACGGUAGGUUCAGUGACUGGGGUGUAGUCGUAACAAGGUAGCCGU